AUCAAAAUGAUAGAAUUGUAAAGUCAAAAGGAGAAAAAUUGAGGAUUGGCUGGUUUGUAUUAUCAUCAGUUCUCAAAUGUUUAUAAGGGCCAUCUAAGAGUGAAACGACAAUGGAAACACAGAGAAGGUGUGGGUGGACAAAGCAAAGCAGAGCCCUGACCUCACACCAGCUGGCUGAGCUGUCUUGGCUUGCAUUUGCUGUUCCAGCAUUUGUGGAGUUUGAAAUCUGCAUGCUUGGAGUGCGGAGAGCUGGAUCUUGCACCACAGUCUCCCUGUGGGCUCUUGAAUGAGAAAACCAGGGGAAGCAGAGGUAAGAACCUGUUCAAGAAGGCACAUCUCAGAUGUGGAAGAACCAUGAUUCAACUCGAGUCUGUCUGCUUCCCAAGACUGUGGUAUUUAAACAGCUUAUAAUGAAAAUUCCUUCUAUAGCUCCCCAUAAAAGGGCACACAGUUCUUUCUUAACGUAUUAUUUCAGGCAUUCAUUCACCAUUGAUGUAUUUGUGAAGGUGUUCUCUCUAAAUAAACUAUUGGGACCUUACUUGACUGUGA
rnacentral:lncRNA from 1 species